UAUUGAGCACUGACUGUAUACCCUGCAUGUGCUAAGUGCUUUACGUGCACUCUCGAAUUUAACAUUAGAAGUACUCACCAUGUCAGGAUUUUUCCACUUAUGUAUGUGGAGGUUGCAGUGAGCCAAGAUUGCACCACUGUACUCAAGUCUGGGCAACAGAGUGAGACCCUGUCUCAAAAAAAAAAAAAAAUUUAGAGAUGGGGGUGUUGCUAUGUUGCCCAGGUUGGACUCGAACUCUUGGACUCAAGCAUUCCUCCUGCCUCAGCCUCCUGAAUAGCUGGGACUAAAGGCAUAUGCCAUCACACCCAGCUGGUAAAAUCAACUUUCAAUAAGCAUGAAGGGUAGUGAUGAAGAGAUCAGGGCUAGAGCCAGAUGGCCUGAAUUCAAAUCCUGCUUUCUCCUCUCUAGCUGUGUAGUAGCUGUGGGCAAGUUACUUAAACUCUUUGAGCCUCUGAUUUCUCACCUGUCCAGGGCGGGUAUGAACAGGCCCACCUCACAGUGUUGCAAGGAUUCAGUGAGUUCGCAUGAAGUGAUUAGAAGUGAUUGGGGCUGGGUGCGGUGGCUCACGCCUGUAAUCCCAGAACUUUGGGAGGCUGAGGCAGGCAGAUCACUUGAGGCCGGGAGUUCGAGACCAGCCUGACCAACAUGGAGAAACCCUGUCUCUACUAAAAAUGCAAAAUUAGCCGGACGUGGUAGCACAUGCCUGUAAUCCCAGCUACUCGGGAGGCUGAGGCAGGAGAAUCGCUUGAACCUGGGAAGCGGAGGUUGCAGUGAGCCGAGAUUGCGCCAUUGCACUCCAGCCUGGGCAACAAGAGCAAAAAAAAAGAAGUGAUUGGGCUGACUGAGUCCACGCCACAUGAAGGGAUUAGAAGCGAUGCAUAGUGAAUGUGCAGAAAGUCCUCUCUUAAGGAUUAGGGUCAAGAAGAAAAAGAAAGGAAAGGGAAAGUGCUCACCAUUUGAGACCUGUCUGGAAAUUGCUGUACUUAGUGUAAAUUUCUUCUCAGCUUCAACAUCUUUGAUCGUGAUUUUAUCAGGAAAAUACUAAUAAAGCCACUGUUUUGUUCAACUUCUGAUACUUGCUUUUUGAAAAGAUAAUAAUACCUUUGCCUUUUUAAGGAUUCAGUGAAAAUGCUGUUCUUCAACUUCAUUUUGGGGUGCAGUAGGAUUCACUGCUUCACAUGCUCCUUGUGCACACAUUUGAGUGCCUACUGUAUGCAGGCACUACAGGGGAGACAGGGUGACCAGGACAAGUCUUCCAACCUCAAGAAGCUUCAAGUCUAUUGGGGUUGGGAUGGAGUAGUGGCACCACCCACCCCCCCCAUCACCAUAAGCAGGAGACACAAGCCAAGGAGGUUCUGUAUGGGAGGCCCACUGACACUGCUGGAGCUACUUAGUGGGGCACGCUCCAGGAAAGCUUCCCAGAGGAAGGGGCUUCCCAUCCCAGAGGUCUAAGACCUUAAAGCCCCACCAGGUAUUAGUUCAUAUCUCCAGCCUCUAACAUAUUCCUAGAGACAGAAUUGUUCAAGUGGGACUUGUAGAACUCAGCUGUGCCCCAGAACCUCCAAGAUGCCCCAGGCUGGAACCACACUGGCCUCUCCUCUCUGCCAAAGGCCCCUUCAAGGAUGAGGCCCAAAUCCACUAAAGGACUGUUUACCACCCAAUUAUAUUCCAGACCAGAGAGGCAAGCUGGCAGCCUGCAUGCCAAACCCAACAAAAAUAUGUGUUUUAGUGGCCCAUAGAGUAUUUCUUUGCACUGAAUUAUCACCAGGACUUAAAUCAACAUUUUAUCUAUUUAACCAACAUUAUCACCAACAUUUGUCACCAGGAGAGUUCAUGUAAAACUGCACAUUUCCAGCCUCUUUUGAAAGCUUCGGUGAGGCAGCCUCAGCCUAAAUUUGCCCGGGGCAGUGAUGGGGGCACUGAACAAGACUAUUCCUCACAGUCCAUCGGGAGCCGUGGAGGGUGCUAAGCAGAGGAGGAACAGGAUCCCUCUGGCUAUGUGUGGAAAAUGGACUGCAGGGAUGAGGGAGCCCAGCGGGGAGGUGAGGUGACUGCAACCAUCCAGGCAAGAAAGGAUGGUGGCCAGACCAGGUGGGAGCAGUGGGCAGUGGGUUUGAUUCUCGCACUGUUUUAAAUGAAGAGACUUCCUGGGGGUUAUACGCAAGGUGGUAAGGAUGACGCCAGGUCUCCUGUCCUAAGCCAUUGGAAAGAUGGGAUUGCCUAAAGCUAGGGAGGGAAACCACCAGUGGGCAGAGGAAACCAGGAUCCCAUGGUGAGUUCGAGAUGCCCCUCAGACACCCAGGUGGGAGCGUCAGGGAGGCAGCCUGUUGGGGGUCUGGAGUUCAGGGCUGAGGUGGGGGCUGGAGAGAGAGAUGAGGAGCGGCCAGUGUAGAGAUGGUGCUUAGUGCCCCAGGCCUCGGAGUGGGCACAACUAGGGAGAGGACCCGGGGCCACUCAACCUGGAGAGGUCACCUUCCGCCUGGGAAGCCCAGCAGGGCACAGGGCAGAGCUUCUGCCCUCCUUUCCUGGAGGGCCCGCUGACCCCUCCGGCGUCCCUUCCCCUCUCUCCCAGGGCCACUGUUCCCAGAUGUGCCACAACGUCUUCAUCGUGGAGUCGGUGUGCGUGGGCUGGUUCUCCCUGGAGUUCCUCCUGCGGCUCAUUCAGGCGCCCAGCAAGUUCGCCUUCCUGCGGAGCCCGCUGACGCUGAUCGACCUGGUGGCCAUCCUGCCCUACUACAUCACGCUGCUGGUGGACGGCGCCGCCGCAGGCCGUCGCAAGCCCGGCGCGGGCAACAGCUACCUGGACAAGGUGGGGCUGGUGCUGCGCGUGCUGCGGGCGCUGCGCAUCCUGUACGUGAUGCGCCUGGCGCGCCACUCCCUGGGGCUGCAGACGCUGGGGCUCACGGCCCGCCGCUGCACCCGCGAGUUCGGGCUCCUGCUGCUCUUCCUCUGCGUGGCCAUCGCCCUCUUCGCGCCCCUGCUCUACGUCAUCGAGAACGAGAUGGCCGACAGCCCCGAGUUCACCAGCAUCCCUGCCUGCUACUGGUGGGCUGUCAUCACCAUGACGACGGUGGGCUAUGGCGACAUGGUCCCCAGGAGCACCCCGGGCCAGGUAGUGGCCCUGAGCAGCAUCCUGAGCGGCAUCCUGCUCAUGGCCUUCCCAGUCACCUCCAUCUUCCACACCUUCUCCCGCUCCUACCUGGAGCUCAAGCAGGAGCAAGAGAGGGUGAUGUUCCGGAGGGCGCAGUUCCUCAUCAAAACCAAGUCGCAGCUGAGCGUGUCCCAGGACAGUGACAUCUUGUUCGGAAGUGCCUCCUCGGACACCAGAGACAAUAACUGAGCGCGGAGGACACGCCUGCCCUGCCUGCCAUCUGUGGCCCGAAGCCAUUGCCAUCCACUGCAGACGCCUGGAGAGGGACAGGCCGCUUCCGAGUGCAGUCCUGGCGCAGCACCGACUCCCACGCACCCGGGGAAGGACACCCUCACUCCCACACCCCGGGAAGAACACUAGAACAUCAGCAGAGGGGCCCUGCCCCUCCGCCUGCAGCCGUGAAAGGAAGCUGGGUCAUCAGCCCAGCCCCGCCCACCCCAGCCCCUAUGUGUGUUUCCCUCAAUAAGGAGAUGCCUUGUUCUUUUCACCAUGCAAAUAACAUGCCCAGCAAAAACUUGCUUUAUGGGUCUGCCUGGAGAAAAAAAAAAAAAAUACAAACAGCAGAAACAGC
rnacentral:lncRNA from 1 species